GUUUAGAGACACUGAAAGAGAGAAAGGUAAACACAAACCAAACUAAACGCCAUAGCAAGGAACGAGUGAGUGAGGGUUCUCCUAGGAUAAUUUUUUUCUUCUUUUUUUUUUCAAUUAUUAUUAUUUGCUUCUGUUAAUUUCCCCAGUAAUUAUUUAUUCUCCUUUUUUCACGCCGUGUGUGUUUGUUACCGAUUGAAAAUCUUUGGAGAGUGACUUCAGAGAGGAAGUGUCUAGAAGGUGGUCUUAUGAGCAUUCAUUCUUCUACUUCAACCUAAGCAACACAACACAACACAACACAGUGUGAAAGAGAGAGAAAUGGGUAGAGGAAGAUGCUUCUUGGACAUUAGCAUAGGGGAAGAGCUUGAAGGGAGAAUAGUGGUGGAGCUUUAUGAUGAUGUUGUUCCCAAAACUGCUGAGAAUUUCAGAGCCCUAUGCACUGGUGAGAAAGGCAUUGGUUCAAAUACUGGAGUGCCCCUUCAUUUCAAGGGAUCUUGCUUUCAUCGUGUUAUUAAAGGCUUCAUGAUUCAAGGAGGUGAUAUAUCUGCUGGGGAUGGUACUGGAGGAGAAUCUAUAUAUGGACUUAAGUUUGAAGAUGAAAAUUUCGAGUUGAAGCAUGAAAGGAAAGGGAUGUUAUCAAUGGCAAACUCUGGUCCUGAUACUAAUGGGUCUCAGUUUUUUAUCAGCACUACCCGAACAUCUCACCUAGAUGGUAAGCAUGUUGUAUUUGGGAAAGUAGUUAAAGGAAUGGGAGUGGUCCGAUCAGUUGAGCAUGUUGCGACCGGAGACAAUGAUCGUCCCACUCUAGAUGUUAAAAUUGUGGACUGUGGAGAAAUUCCUGAAGGAGAAGAUGAUGGGAUAUCUAACUUUUUCAAAGAUGGAGACACCUAUCCCGACUGGCCAGCAGACCUUGAUGAGAGCCCUAAUGAACUUGAGUGGUGGAUGAAAUCUGUUGACUCGAUUAAAGCUUUUGGCAAUGAUUAUUACAGGAAACAAGAUUACAAAAUGGCUCUAAGGAAGUAUCGGAAGGCUUUACGCUACCUGGAUAUUUGUUGGGAGAAGGAAGGCAUUGAUGAAGAGAUAAGUUCAGGUUUGAGAAAAACGAAGUCUCAGAUUUUUACAAACAGCUCUGCUUCUAAAUUGAAAUUAGGGGAUAUUAAAGGAGCAUUGUUGGAUACAGAAUUUGCAAUGCGUGAGGGAGACAACAAUGCUAAAGCUUUGUUCCGCCAAGGACAGGCAUACAUGGCACUCCAUGACAUUGAUGCUGCAGUUGAAAGCUUUAAGAAGGCACUGACCUUGGAACCAAAUGAUGCUGGAAUAAAAAAGGAACUUGCUGCUGCUAGGAAGAAGAUAGCUGAUAGGCGUGAUCUAGAGAAAAAGGCAUAUAGCAAGAUGUUCCAAUAACACUCUGUCGCUCCUAUGGUCAGUAACCGCCACAAAUUGUGCAGCCAAACCACCAAAAAUCAGGCAUGAGGGACUAAAAAAGGCUUAUGUAAACAACCAGAUUGUUGCAGCAUAUACAUAUGAUAAAAGGUUAAAGGUUUGAACCUAUUGUUACUAAAAGUAUUCGGAGUGGGGCUCACAUGAAAUAAGUGGAUAAGGAUUGGUAUUGUUACAUUAUUACAUAUGAAAUUUUAAGCCAACAAUUUUGUCAACCUUUUCUUUUACAGUGAAACUCUAUGAUCAUUUUAUUGGGCGGUGAUAUUGAAAUGCAAUUAAGAUGAUGGACCAGGCAGUGCUAUAUGUGAUUUUGAUAUAUUGUUAUUUGUUGGGAACUUUUACACUCAAAGUAUAAUGUAGCGAAUUUAUUGGAUAGAA